UCCGGUUUGGCACCGGCAGUCUCCCUAGAGUUCCCGGCUUGACCCGCUGGCAACUAAGGACAGGGGUUGCGCUCGUUGCGCCACUUAAGGCAACACCUCACGGCACGAGCUGACGACAGCCAUGUACCACCUGUGAAGGUGCCCCGAAGGGAAGCCGUGUUUCCACGGCGGUCACCCACAUGUCAAGCCCAGGUAAGGUUCUUCGCGUUGCGUCGAAUUAAACCACAUGCUCCGCUGCUUGUGCGGGUCCCCGUCAAUUCCUUUGAGUUUUAGCCUUGCGGCCGUACUCCCCAGGCGGGGCACUUAAUGCGUUAGCGUCGGCACGGGGGGAGUCGACACCCCCCACACCUAGUGCCCAUCGUUUACGGCGUGGACUAC
rnacentral:misc_RNA from 1 species